rnacentral:tRNA from 1 species
GGAGGUAUACCCAAGUGGUUGAAGGGGUCAGUUUCGAAAACUGAUAGGGGUGCAAGCCUGCUAGAGUUCGAAUCUCUAUACCUCCGCCA